GAGUGAGAGUGUCUCAGUGAACUGACUGUGGGAAGAGCUUUAACCAGUUAAACAGCCUGAAAAAGCAUCACAUCGUUCACAGUGAGGAGAAACCAUACACAUGUUCUGUGUCUGGACAAGGCUUCAACUGAUCAUUCAACCUGGAGAGACACAAGGACACCCACACUAUGGAGAAACCGUGGAAAUGUGAGGACUGUGGGAAAGGAUUCAAUUAUCCAUCCCUGCUGGAAAACCAUCGACACAGUCACACAGGGGAAAGGCCAUUCACCUGCUCUGUGUGUGGGGAGGGAUUUACUCAGUCAUCUGGCCUUUGGUCACACCAACGUAUUCACACUGAGGAGAAGCUAUUCAGCUGCACUUCCUGUGGAAAGAGGUUCAGGCACUCUUCUGCACUUACUGUACACCAACGCACUCACACUGGGGAGAGGCCAUUCACCUGCUCCGAGUGUGGGAAGGGAUUUACUCAGUCAUUCCACCUGCUGACACACCAGCGAGUUCACACUGGAGAGAGGCUGUUCACUUGCUCUGUGUGUGGGAAAGGAUUCACUGGGUCAUCCCACCUGCUGUCACACCAGCGAAUUCACAUUGAAGAGAAGCCAUUCAGUUGCACUUCCUGUGGAAAGAGUUUCAGACAAGCAUCCUCCCUCAUUUUACACCAGCGAGUUCACACUGGGGAGAGACCAUUCAUCUGCUCCGAGUGUGGGAAGGGAUUCACAGUUUUACCCAACCUGCUGAGACACCAGCGAAUUCACACUGGGGAGAAGCCAUUUAGCUGCACUUCCUGUGGGAAGCGUUUCAGGCAGUCAUCCAACCUCACUGCUCACCAACGCACUCACACUGCAGAGAGACCAUUCACAUGCUCCGUAUGUGGGAAAGGAUUCAGUCGAUCAUCCAACCUCACCGCACACCAGCGAGUUCACACUGGGGAGAGGCCGUUCACUUGCUCGCUGUGUGGGAAGGGAUUUGCAAAGUCUUUCAAUCUGCUGACCCACCAACGCACUCACACUGAGAAGAGGUUAUUCAACUCUCGGUGUGUGGGAAGGGAUUCACUCAGUCACGAUGCCUCCUGAGACAUCAGCAAGUUCAUAAGUGACUGCGGGGGUUGGAUCCUGCUGUUCUUGCUGCUUCUCCUGUAAAUACUGAUGGGAAAGGGACCGGAAUCUUCGGAGGCUCCACUCCGCUGGCUGCUUGUGAGGAAGUGAUUUCCGACCAGAUUAAUGUGCUUCUGCUUGACUCCAGCCACAGCUCCAGCUCUGAAACGUGGAUUUUGAGUAGCUGCAACUGGAGACAUUUCCUACAUACUUGGUCACCUGGAGACUGGAAGUGUCCCUGACUUCCCACAUUGCACAGGAGGAGCAUUCCACUUGGCCGAGCUGCCCUGCCAUGACUUAACUGUAUAAGCCAGUUAACUAAUGGACUAGCUGCAGCUGCAAGUAGAGCCUGUAUAAGUUUGGUUUUAAAGCUGGACUAACAGUCACUUUCUCCCAACCCAAAGAAUAACUUUUAGCAAUACUUA